rnacentral:rRNA from 1 species
CUCAUGGUUUCACGGUAUUGCAAUGAGAACAAUUUAAAACCCUUAGCGAGAAUCAAGUGGAGGACAAGUCUGGUGCCAGCACCCGCGGUAAUUCCAGCUCCACUAGCGUAUAUUAAAGUUGUUGCAGUUAAAAAGCUCGUAGUAGAACCUCUGUCUGGGGCUAGUUUUGGCUUUGGUCAGGCUAGUUCUAGGCAUCCGCCUACAAGACUUAGAGGGCAUUCAGUUGUUCACUAGGAGGAGUAGGCAUUUUACUUUGAAAAAAUUAGAGUGUUUAAGGCAGGCAAUCGCCCGCAUAUAUUAGCAUGGAAUAAUAGAAUAGGACACUUUUCCAUUUCGUUGGUUAUUGGAAUCGUGUAAUGAUUAAUAGGGACAGUUGUGGGCAUUUGUAUUUAAUUGUCAGAGGUGAAAUUCUUGGAUUUAUUAAAGACAAACUAACGCGAAAGCAUUUGCCAAGGAUGUUUUCAUUAAUCAAGAACGAAAGUUAGGGGAUCAAAGACGAUCAGAUACCGUCCUAGUCUUAACUAUAAACUAUUCCGACUCAAUGUUUGACUGGCUUAUAUAACCAGUUGAGCGUUGUAUGAGAAAUCAAAGUCUUUAGGUUCUGGGGGAGUAUGGUUGCAAAGCUGAAACUUAAAGGAAUUGACGGAAGAGCACAACCAGGAGUGGAUUCUGCGGCUUAAUUUGACUCAACACGGGGAAACUUACCAGGUUAAAACAAUAGUGGGAUUGACAGUUUGAGAGCGCUUUCUUGAUUGGUUGGGUGGUGGUGCAUGGCCGUUCUUAGUUGGUGGAGUGAUUUGUCUGCUUAAUUGCGUUAACGAACGAGACCUUAACCUGCUUACUAGACUGGCGAUCAUCAAUCGUUAGCUCUUCUUAGAGGGACUUUGGUUGUUUUAACUCCAAGGAAGUUUGAGGCAAUAACAGGUCUGUGAUGCCCUUAGAUAUCCUGGGCCGCACGCGUCAUACAAUGACUAGUUCAGAAAGUUUUCUCCUGACCCGAAAGGGGAUGGGUAAUCUUGAUAAUACUAGUCGUGUUAGGGAUCGAUCUUUGCAAUUAUAGAUCUUGAACGAGGAAUUCCUAGUAAGUGCGGUUCAUCAGACCGUACUGAUUACGUCCCUGCUCUUUGUACACACCGCCCGUCGCUUCUACCGAGUGGGUGGUCCGGUGAGAUAAUUGAACUUCGCAGGUAACUGAGAGGAAAGAUUAUCAAACCUAUCCACCU